rnacentral:rRNA from 1 species
UGCCAGACUCCUACGGGAGGCAGCAGUGAGGAAUAUUGGUCAAUGGGCGCAAGCCUGAACCAGCCGAGUCGCGUGAGGGAAGACGGCCCUACGGGUUGUAAACCUCUUUUGCCGGGGAGCAAGCCUGAGCACGUGUGCCCAGGCGGAGAGUACCCGGAGAAAAAGCAUCGGCUAACUCCGUGCCAGCAGCCGCGGUAAUACGGAGGAUGCGAGCGUUAUCCGGAUUUAUUGGGUUUAAAGGGUGCGCAGGCGGGCUGUUAAGUCGGCGGUCAAAUGUCGGGGCUCAACCCCGGCCUGCCGUUGAAACUGGCGGCCUCGAGUGGGCGAGAAGUAUGCGGAAUGCGUGGUGUAGCGGUGAAAUGCAUAGAUAUCACGCAGAACUCCGAUUGCGAAGGCAGCAUACCGGCGCCCGACUGACGCUGAGGCACGAAAGCGUGGGUAUCGAACAGGAUUAGAUACCCCCGUACAA